UACGUAGGGUGCAAGCGUUAAUCGGAAUUACUGGGCGUAAAGCGUGCGUAGACGGCUAUCUAAGUCGGGUGUGAAAGCCCCGGGCUCAACCUGGGAAUUGCAUUCGAGACUGAAUAGCUAGGGUACGGUAGAGGGAAGUGGAAUUUCCGGUGUAGCGGUGAAAUGCGUAGAUAUCGGGAGGAACACCUGAGGCGAAGGCGGGCUACUGGGCCGAUACUGACGCUGAUGCGCGAAAGCCAGGGGAGCGAACGGGAUAGAAACCCCAUG
rnacentral:rRNA from 1 species